UUCUACCUAUGGGCACUGGGCUGUUUGUGAUGGCCGUGUCUCAGUGGAUGUUCUGUGCUGCAGUGUUGCUCCUCCUCGUCCAGGGGCUCCAGUGUUCUCCGACUCCCCCUGCCUGUCCUGAGUCCUGCCUUUGUCAGAGAGGUCCUCUGUUAAACUGUUCCUCUGCUGGCCUUUCCAAGGCCCCACAACACAUCCCUUCCACCGUAAAUGAUCUAGACCUAUCUCACAACCUUCUGAACUCCCUUGAACCCUCGUGGCCAAGUUGGGGGCUUAAUAAUCUAUGGCUUGGACACAACAGCAUCACUCACCUAUCUCUGUGUGUGGGGAGGAACUGGAGAGGUAAACAUGGGAGAAUACCCCUCUCACACAACAGAGGAAGAUGUGUAUCCUGGGCCCCGGCCCUGCAGCUGCUGUCUGCUGAGAGGAACCAGCUAGAGAUAAUCCCUGAGGGCCUGGGAGGCAGUGAGUUCCUGCAGGUGCUUCAGCUCUCCCACAACAGGAUCUCUGGCCUGCAACCUGGAGAUCUUUGCAGGUGCCCCCAUCUGAGAGAGCUUUGCCUGCAGCACAACCACAUCUCCAACAUCCACCCACAUGCCCUCAGGGACCUCCCAGAGCUCAAGGUAACUACAAAUCAUUAAUAGUAACUACUGCAUCACAACAUGUUAUCUGGUUACCAGCUGACCCAAACCUCACGUGAGCUCAGUACUAUAAAACAGAUUUGACAUACCUAUCAUUUUCAUAAUGACAUCCUUCAAAGGUCCUGGAUCUGAGCUUCAACCUGUUGACCACAAUCUCUCCAUCCGCCUACCUGUCGCUACGUAACCUGAAUGCCCUGGUGGAGGUGAGUGGUAACAGGUGGAGGUGUGACUGCAGCCUGCGGAGCGUGAGGAGGUGGAUGGCCUACGAUAGGCAAAGGGCCCAACAGCAGAUCUGGAGGGGGGUGGUGUGUUCCUCCCCCUCCACCCACACAGGUAGAGACCUGCUACACUUGGAGGACAGUGACCUCACCUGCUAUACAGCGGAGAACAGGGAGGGGCUCCACCAGGAUGUGACAGUGACUGAGGGGACAGAGAUCCUGCUGCCCUGCGGCACCCUGCGGCAAGAUUCAACAUGGUGGACAACUAAUGGACAAGUUUCUGGAAGUCAGAUGGGCCUGCUGAUCAGUGACAUCACAGAGGAAGACGCAGGGCUGUACGUGUGCAUGUCUGGGCCAGAAGAGCAGUAUAUAUCUGUAUUUAACAUCCAUGUUCAUAAGGCACAGAGGAAAAGCAGAGGCACCAGGAGCUUACACUGGGAGAGGAAGCUGAUAAACACACAGGUAGGCAGCCUACAGAGGGAGGGUCAGGGGACAGACCUGAACUCUCUAGAUCUCUACAGGGCUUCUCAGAGAACACAGUCUGACCUGGUCCUGGCUGUCUGCCUGUCUGUAUUCAUCACCUUCCUGUUAGCAUUUAUACUUGGUGCUCUUGCCAGACCUCUCCUGGACCCUCUCUGGAGGAGGUGCUGUAACCGUACCAAGCAAAGCUCCUCCCCAGCCCAGUCGGUCUCCUCUGGUGGGCAGGGGCCCUACGACAAUGGCACCUAUUCAGAUGAGGCGCAGGAGGAACUAGGAACACACAGGGAGAGUAGAGUGACAUUCAGAGGACAUCCUUCAGAAAUAAGGGAUCAGAGUAGCAUUCCAUACUAUGAUACGGUGGCCAAUGGCAGACAGGACAACCUCGCUGGGGAAUAUGAUGCAACAUAUGAGAAUGUUUAUGCAAAGGAUAUCUCACACCCCUCCCUUGAGGUCCAUCACCCACCUGAUGAGAAGCCCAGGGCACAGGACUCUGUCAGCUCAGGCAGCUCCCAACAGGACAGCCCAGAGACAGACACCCAUAGUGGAGAACUCUCUGAUGUCUCUCUGAGUGAACCACAAGUGGGUGCUCACCCAGUUCAUACCCACCAUGGCAUGGAGUUUGAACCCAUCCCUGACCCAGAACAGUUGCAGGGAUAUCGAAGCUCGUCCGUGUCUUCACACUCUGACCAGGAGAGGCUGGGUAGGGAUCAGGAUAUGCACUGGCCCAAAAACUAUUUGGCUCAAAGAUUGGAAGAGAAGUGCAAGACCCAGAACAAUCCCUGGGAGCAUCAAUCCCCCCAGAAGGAAGAUGACUCAUUUGAGCAGAGUUCAGAUUUCCCUAUGGUUAAACAAGUUGAUGUGCCACAGAUCAAGAUCGGCAGCGUGGGUGAGAUCCCUGAAAUUACAGCUGAGCCCUUUACGGAUUGGAAACCAAUCAAGGCAGAUCCAAACCCCAUGGAGCCUGAGCUGUGGAAUGAUAGUGGAGAGAGCUUUGAGUUCCCUGAUUCUAUCCGAGGUGCAUCGGCACAGUCCAGCAGUCAAGAUCUCUCGGGUUCUGCUUUUGACGAUCAGUUGAGAAAGAAGUAUGAACAAGCUCGGAAUGAAGAACCACUGGUGAAAGACCAGAGGGAGAAUAAUAAGCUGCUGGAGCUGAACUUAAGUUACAGUGGGAAUGAACCUACAGUAUACACUGUGAACCCAGAGACGGAGGUAGUGAAGGAGAAGAUGAUUGUCCAGAAUGUGGGUGAACUGAUACAGGAAGUUCAGAGUGCUCUGAAAACACAGGAGUGCUAUGAUAUGUCCAGUGAUCGUGGGGAUGAACCCACAAAGUACACAGUGAACGAGGACGAUUCAGCUCAAGUUCCAGAUGUCAUGUACAAGGAUCCAUCUCUCAGUCUUGGCACCAAAGAGACAGUGUCUCCAAGGAAAACUCUCAAUAUUGGCUUUAAGAAAUACACCAAGCCCCUUCCACAACUGUCUUUGCCAAAAACAUCCCUCCCUUUCUCCACCUCUUCAGACUCUCAAACUCAACUCUUCUAUGUCCCCCCACUUGGGAGACGUCUGGAUAGCCAUCCCCCUCAGGAAGCUCCACCUGCUGCCCCAAGAACACCCCCACCCUCUGGUUCAUCCUCUUCUAGAACCGGGAGCGAGGAUGAGACUACAAUGAACCGAAAAAGAAAAGAGAAAGCUAAGAUCCCUGACGUCACAUAUAGGGAUUACUCUCUCAGAUCUGGAGACACAUCAACUAAAGUAUCUUUCUCUCCAAGAAAAUAUCUAAAUAUUGGCUUCUCCAGCGAGAGUUCUCAAUAUCAACAUGAGUCUGUGACAAGGUACGAGAGUGUCACCAGAACAAAGGGUGUAGACUUUGAUGAAGACAGCAAGCUUCGUCCCCAAAUGUCUUUGCCCAAAACAUCACUCCUUUCCACCACCUCCUCAGACAGGGUCAGAGCUGAAGAGCCAUCAGUUAAAAUCUACAUCCCUGAAUUUAGGAGACGUCAGAAUAUUCAGCCCCCUCAGGAAGCUCCACCUGCCAAAUCAUCCUCUUCCAGCUGUGAGAGUGGAGAUGAGACUCCAAAACACACAAUGAAACCAGCUAAAGCCAUCACAGAUUAUUUUUCCCCAAGGAGAACACUCAAUAUCAGCUUUAACAACUCAGCCAGUACCACAGAUGAGGUGGAGAGGAAGACCGAAGCAGAGGACAGGUGGGAUCAGCCAAGGCUUGGUAAAGUGAAGGCGCUGUCAGAGAGAACACGAAGGGACACAGAGGAAAGUUCUACAGACAUGAAUGUUUCUUUCUCCCAAAUAAGAGCGCUCAAUAUCAACUUUGAUGCCUUAGACAGCAGCACAGACGAGGUGGGGAGGAGUACCGGAGCAGACUACAGUAACCCUACUGAAGAAAUCAGUCCCUCUCCCCAACUGUCAUUGUACAAAACACAAUUUUUCUCUACCCCCACAGAUGAGGCGAGGCCUAGAGGAGAGUAUUCACUCCAAAUUCCCCUACACAGGAAGCGCUUAGUUGUAGACAUCCAGCCCCCCCUGGCUCUACCGGAUGCCCCAGCAACACCUCCACCAUCCCCAGAGGGAGAGGAGGCAGCAGGGUCUGGGUGGAGGAGUAGGGAACAACAGAUGAGAGCCAUGGAUGGAUUUGGCUGUAACUCCAUGACACAGGGAGACAGGAGCUAUAUGGGGUUAGUGGUUGCUAAACCAUUCGGCAUAUCUCGUCCAUAUCAGAGCGUUACCUCAGAAACCAUUAUGACCACCCGGUGUAGUGAGGUCUCUACCUCUGGUGACCUCAAUAUGACCUACUCCAACUCCACCCUCCAUUUUGAAACACACAAAGAGGGCAGUGAAGCUUGAGAGCUACAACUGUAAUUGUUUGUACUGAUUAAAGAAAUCACGUGAGAAGUUAAUGAGUUGAGAGCUACAACUGUAAUUGUUUGUACUGAUUAAAGAAAUCACGUGAGAAGUUAAUGAGUUGAGAGCUACAACUGUAAUUGUUUGUACUGAUUAUAGAAAUCCCCUGAGAAGUUAAUGCAGCAGAUGAAAGUUGUUAAAACGUAAGUUUAUUUUAAUUACAGAAUUAUACUGUUAUUACAUUGUUGUAAAUGAGUAACACCAGACAUGUUUGUCUUAAUGAAAAUAGCUGUUUAAGUGACUGAAUUAUUUCAGACUGAGGCAAAUAAAAGGUGGGACCAUUAAAACCCAAUUUCCCAGAUUCAUAUCCACCUACUUUACUCACUCAGUACCCUACUCCCCUCUAUUUUGCUACAAAAUUGUCUUUAUGACACUAUCAUAAAUAAACCUGUAAUGAAAGUCGCCCAUAUUGUGUUUGAUGUUUUUAUAUAAGUUGAUCUAUGGGUACCUGGAUAAUAAGGUGCACACAUGACGUAGCAAUUACUGUGGUAAUGCAAUAGUAAAAAUACAUUAGGCCUACAGUAGCGGAAUCAAACAUGAUCCUGUGCAAUUUAAAAACACAGAACGAACAUCUCAUCACAAACCACAUUUGAAUCUUUCUGUAAAGGAAGAUGGCAAAGCAAAAAUGAAUGACAACAGUAAGUUAAUAUAGAUACUGUAGGUUACAGUGAAAACACAUACUGUACAUACAUAUACAGUCAGGACAGGGUUGUUCAACCUCCUGCAUUACCAAUGUAGAACACCAUCUGAAUUAGACUUAUUGGUGCGCAGUCCAGCCACUAGCUCCAUCUCCAAAAACUUAAUAUAGAUAAAUAUGCUGAUGACUGGACAGGACAGCCAAAGCAUCAUGGAUCACUGAUAGGUGGAGAUCUCAUGCGAUCUUACUACUUCAUAAAUUGAUCCAUUUACUGUAUAUGCUUUAGUUGUGGAUAAGAUGCCACUGGGUUUGACCAAUUCAUGAUUGACAUGUCAAAAGAUCUGACACCAUUCUUACAACACAGUCUCAUGUUAAUUUCAGUUCAUGUCCAUUUGUUUGAGAGACUGACUUUGUUGUUUUUACUGUGUGUGAUAGGGGGAGGGGUUGGCAAAUGAAGGAGGGAACUCCUCUUCCUCAAAUGAGGUUACAUGUGUGUUUCAGCUCUGAAUAUACACAAUCAUGGUUUUCAUAAAGCGUUAAGACAACAUGGAGGAUAUCAAAUGAAGCACAAAUUCCUGUACAAAAAACAAAACAAUUUUUCAAAAAUCUCAUCCAUUCUGACGG
rnacentral:lncRNA from 13 species